GCCUACGGGGCGCAGCAGUGGGGAAUAUUGCACAAUGGGGGAAACCCUGAUGCAGCGACGCCGCGUGAGUGAAGAAGUAUUUCGGUAUGUAAAGCUCUAUCAGCAGGGAAGAAAAAAGACGGUACCUGACUAAGAAGCCCCGGCUAACUACGUGCCAGCAGCCGCGGUAAUACGUAGGGGGCAAGCGUUAUCCGGAUUUACUGGGUGUAAAGGGAGCGUAGACGGUGCGUCAAGUCUGAAGUGAAAGCCCGGGGCUUAACCCCGGGACUGCUUUGGAAACUGGCGCGCUAGAGUGCUGGAGAGGG
rnacentral:rRNA from 1 species